UGCCGCGUGACAGCCGCACUCCGCAGUCGGCACUCUAGCUAGUAGUUGAAGCGGAGACGCAACGAGGAAAAUCCGUACGGCUACAGAGCAGCGGCAGGAGUGGGGGGCGGGCGCGGGAGAGAUGAUAAGGAUGGCGGCGGCGUCUCCGCCGCCCGCGUCCGCCGUGCCGGUGCGCGGGGGCGGCGGCGCGGCGGCCUCGUCGUCCGCGCGCCUCUUCGCGGGGUCCCGGAGUAGCGUCGCGGCGUGGAUUGGGAGGGGGAGGAGGAGGCGGUGCGCCAUCUCGUGCUCCUCGUCGCAGGACGGAGAUGGGCCGCGCCCCGCCGCGGCGCCUUCCGACGGGUCGAUACAGCUCUACUCCCAGAUCGAGAGGGUGAUCACGGAGGCGGCGAGGCAGUCCGGCGAGGGCUGGGGCUCGACCGGAGAUUGGACCGAAGUCGAGGGAGCAUGGGUGCUGAGACCCAAGUCCUCGGAGCCCUCGUUUGUUGUCCACUUCGUUGGAGGGAUAUUUGUCGGAGCCGCGCCCCAGAUCACAUACCGUUUCUUCCUCGAGCGGCUCGCGGACAGGGGAGCUUUGGUGAUUGCCACGCCGUAUGCGAGUGGCUUCGAUCAUUUCUUCAUUGCUGAUGAAGUUCAGUUUAAGUUUGACAGGUGCUUGAGAAACUUGGACGAGCCUGUAAAUGAUCUUCCCACUUUUGGUGUUGGACAUUCCUUGGGAUCUGUUAUCCACAUGCUGAUUGGAUCAAGAUAUGCUGUGCAGCGAAGUGGAAAUGUAUUGAUGUCAUUUAACAACAAGGAGGCAAGCUCUGCCAUCCCACUAUUUUCACCUGUAAUUGUUCCCAUGGCACAGAGUUUUGGCCCAAUUUUGUCCCAGCUGACAUCAUAUCCAACAGUCCGUUUUGGGGCAGAAGCAGCCAUUAAGCAGCUUGAGAAUUUAAGCCCUCCUGUUGUUAAGCAACUUCUACCUUUACUUCAACAACUUCCUCCAUUGUAUAUGGACUUAGUAAAAGGGCGGGAGGACUUCAUUCCAAAACCAGAAGAGACACGUCGCCUGAUAAAAUCCUACUACGGAAUUUCUCGGAACCUCUUAAUAAAGUUCAAAGAUGAUCAAAUUGAUGAAACCUCUAUCCUUGCACAAGUACUAAGCUCUGAAGCAGCCAUUAGCUCGUUGCUUGAUAUGUCGAUUCGAUCACUUCCUGGGGAUCAUGGUCUGCCAUUGCAGCAGGUGCUUCCUGAUGUUCCACCAGCAAUGGCUGAUGCAGUGAACCGCGGAGGUGAACUUCUGGCAAAUCUGACUGCAGGCACACCGUGGGAGGCUGUUGCUAAGGAGGUUGGUACCACUUUGGGUACUGACUCAGGCAUUCUACGGGCACAGAUCUCAAAGGAUGUUGAGACACUUGUUGAUGUAAUUGCUUCAUGGAUAUCUUCAAAUUCUGGUCCAAGACUACUUCGUCCAUGAUCACCUAUUUUGCGUACAGAAAUGUCAAUAACACUGAAGAGCAUCAAGUUUUUAUUGAUAAACUAAAUAAGGUGAUAGAUUCUUGCUAUGGUAAAACUGCUCACUUGUACAAAGGGGUCCUGGCAAUUCAAUAAGGAUCUGAUUGGAACUAGGAACAGUCCUUCAAUGGCCGGAUGACACGGGUAGAAGGUGGGUCGAUGGUAUGGCAAGAGUCAGCAACUGCUGAGGCCAACUCGAACUGACGAGGCGGUUGCUUGGUGUCUGAACGCCUAGCCUCACAGCAUGCAACCUAAUCACGGUGAUUGGCUACUGUACCUUAGGAGUUAGGCUGAUCUUUGAAACACAAUGUUUGCUUCUAUCAUGUUUUUUUUUUCAAAUGAUCCUUUUGUAGCAAUGGAAAGUGUAUGCUUCUGUACUGAAGGUACACUGGUUGAGUUGCAUAUUGUUGUCCGUCUUAUAUUUUUUUAGCACGCGUGAUCUGUUAGCUGAUGAUCUGAGACAUUGGUAAUAGAGCAUUAUGCUAUCUCAGCGGGGAAAGGAAGGGUGCAUGGCUCUGGCAGUAGGAGCUUUGGUGGGCAAGUCAUUUUAACCCAUUGGCAAAGGCAAGAUUUCUUCCCUCAGAUUAUUUUUUCUGUAAUCAAUAAUGGAUUAUUGUUAAAUACUUAAAAGGUGCUUACAUAAAGUUA